GUUUCCAUAGUGUAGUGGUUAUCACGUUUGCCUCACACACAAAAGGUCCCUGGUUUGAAACCGGGUGGAAACA